rnacentral:misc_RNA from 1 species
GUGGGAGGGGGCUUGCCCCCGAUUGCAGUGUGCCAGCCAGCCCAUCUGGCACUGACACUCCACCAUCGGGGGCAAGCCCCCUCCCAC